rnacentral:rRNA from 1 species
GUUGUAUGGUUAAGUGACUAAGCGUACAUGGUGGAUGCCUUGGCAGUCAGAGGCGAUGAAGGACGUACUAACCUGCGAUAAGCCGUGAGCAGUCGGUAAGAGACAUUACGACUCACGGAUUUCCGAAUGGGGAAACCCACUUAGCAUAAGCUAGGUAUCGCUACGUGAAUACAUAGCGUAGCGAGGCGAACCGGGAGAACUGAAACAUCUAAGUACCCCGAGGAAAAGAAAUCAACCGAGAUUCCCUCAGUAGCGGCGAGCGAACGGGGAUUAGCCCUUAAGCAUCUUGGAAGUUAGUGGAACGGUCCUGGAAAGGCCGGCGAUACAGGGUGAUAGCCCCGUACACGAAAACAACCUUGAUGUGAAAUCGAGUAGGGCGGGACACGUGACAUCCUGUCUGAAUAUGGGGGGACCAUCCUCCAAGGCUAAAUACUCCUGACUGACCGAUAGUGAACCAGUACCGUGAGGGAAAGGCGAAAAGAACCCCUGUGAGGGGAGUGAAAUAGAACCUGAAACCGUGUACGUACAAGCAGUGGGAGCCCUUCGGGGUGACUGCGUACCUUUUGUAUAAUGGGUCAGCGACUUACAUUUUGUAGCGAGGUUAACCGUAUAGGGGAGCCGUAGGGAAACCGAGUCUUAACUGGGCGUCUAGUUGCAAGGUGUAGACCCGAAACCGGGUGAUCUAGCCAUGGGCAGGUUGAAGGUUGAGUAACAUCAACUGGAGGACCGAACCCACUAACGUUGCAAAGUUAGGGGAUGACCUGUGGCUGGGGGUGAAAGGCCAAUCAAACUCGGAGAUAGCUGGUUCUCCCCGAAAGCUAUUUAGGUAGCGCCUCGGACGAAUACUACUGGGGGUAGAGCACUGUUUGGGCUAGGGGGUCAUCCCGACUUACCAACCCCAUGCAAACUCCGAAUACCAGUAAGUAAUAUCCGGGAGACACACGGCGGGUGCUAACGUCCGUCGUGAAGAGGGAAACAACCCAGACCGCCGGCUAAGGUCCCAAAGUUCUGGUUAAGUGGGAAACGAUGUGGGAAGGCUCAGACAGCUAGGAUGUUGGCUUAGAAGCAGCCAUCAUUUAAAGAAAGCGUAAUAGCUCACUAGUCGAGUCGGCCUGCGCGGAAGAUGUAACGGGGCUCAAACCAGGCACCGAAGCCGCGGAUUCACGCUAAGCGUGAGUGGUAGGGGAGCGUUCUGUAAGUCUGCGAAGGUGUAUCGAGAGGUAUGCUGGAGAUAUCAGAAGUGCGAAUGCUGACGUAAGUAACGAUAAAGGGGGUGAAAAGCCUCCUCGCCGGAAGACCAAGGGUUCCUGUCCAACGUUAAUCGGGGCAGGGUGAGUCGACCCCUAAGGCGAGGCCGAAAGGCGUAGUCGAUGGGAAGCAGGUUAAUAUUCCUGCACGACUUGUAAUUGCGAUGGGGGGACGGAGAAGGCUAGGUGGGCCAGGCGACGGUUGUCCUGGUGAAAGUGCGUAGGUGGUGUUUCUAGGCAAAUCCGGAGGCACAACACUGAGACACGAGACGAACACACUACGGUGUGGAAGCCAUUGAUGCCCUGCUUCCAGGAAAAGCCUCUAAGCUUCAGAUUACAAGUCAUCGUACCCCAAACCGACACAGGUGGUCGGGUAGAGAAUACCAAGGCGCUUGAGAGAACUCGGGUGAAGGAACUAGGCAAAAUAGAACCGUAACUUCGGGAGAAGGUUCGCUCUUGACAGUGAAGUCCCUUGCGGAUGGAGCAGUUGGGAGUCGCAGUGACCAGAUGGCUGGGACUGUUUAUCAAAAACACAGCACUCUGCAAACACGAAAGUGGACGUAUAGGGUGUGACACCUGCCCGGUGCCGGAAGGUUAAUUGAUGGGGUUAGCGCAAGCGAAGCUCUUGAUCGAAGCCCCGGUAAACGGCGGCCGUAACUAUAACGGUCCUAAGGUAGCGAAAUUCCUUGUCGGGUAAGUUCCGACCUGCACGAAUGGUGUAACCAUGGCCAUGCUGUCUCCACCCGAGACUCAGUGAAAUCGAAUUCGCCGUGAAGAUGCGGUGUACCCGCGGCUAGACGGAAAGACCCCGUGAACCUUUACUACAGCUUGGCACUGAACAUUGAACCUACAUGUGUAGGAUAGGUGGGAGGCUUUGAAGGCGUGACGCCAGUUGCGCUGGAGCCGUCCUUGAAAUACCACCCUUGUAUGUUUGAUGUUCUAACGCAGGCCCAUGAAUCUGGGUCGCGGACAGUGCCUGGUGGGUAGUUUGACUGGGGCGGUCUCCUCCCAAAGAGUAACGGAGGAGCACGAAGGUUGGCUAAUCCUGGUCGGACAUCAGGAGGUUAGUGCAAUGGCAUAAGCCAGCUUAACUGCGAGACGGACAGGUCGAGCAGGUACGAAAGUAGGUCAUAGUGAUCCGGUGGUUCUGAAUGGAAGGGCCAUCGCUCAACGGAUAAAAGGUACUCCGGGGAUAACAGGCUGAUACCGCCCAAGAGUUCAUAUCGACGGCGGUGUUUGGCACCUCGAUGUCGGCUCAUCACAUCCUGGGGCUGAAGUCGGUCCCAAGGGUAUGGCUGUUCGCCAUUUAAAGUGGUACGCGAGCUGGGUUCAGAACGUCGUGAGACAGUUCGGUCCCUAUCUGCCGUGGGCGUUGGAUGAUUGAAGGGAGUUGCUCCUAGUACGAGAGGACCGGAGUGAACGAACCUCUGGUGUUCGGGUUGUCACGCCAGUGGCACUGCCCGGUAGCUAAGUUCGGAAUCGAUAACCGCUGAAAGCAUCUAAGCGGGAAGCGAGCCCUGAGAUGAGUCAUCCCUGACCCCUUGAGGGUCCUAAAGGGCCGUUGGAGACCACAACGUUGAUAGGUGGGGUGUGUAAGCGCGGCGACGUGUUGAGCUAACCCAUACUAAUUACCCGUGAGGCUUAACCAUACAACACCCAAGAAGUGUUCU